rnacentral:rRNA from 1 species
UACGUAGGGUGCGAGCGUUGUCCGGAAUUAUUGGGCGUAAAGAGCUCGUAGGCGGUCUGUCGCGUCGGAUGUGAAAACUCGGGGCUCAACCCCGAGCCUGCAUUCGAUACGGGCAGACUAGAGUUCGGUAGGGGAGACUGGAAUUCCUGGUGUAGCGGUGAAAUGCGCAGAUAUCAGGAGGAACACCGGUGGCGAAGGCGGGUCUCUGGGCCGAUACUGACGCUGAGGCACGAAAGCGUGGGGAGCAAACAGG